UACGUAGGGCGCGAGCGUUGUCCGGAUUUAUUGGGCGUAAAGAGCUCGUAGGCGGCUUGUCGCGUCCGGUCCGUCGGAAAACCUGCAGCUCAACUGCAGGCUUGGCGGUCGGAGUACGGGCAGGCUGGAGUUCGGUAGGGGAGACUGGAAUUCCUGGUGUAGCGGUGAAAUGCGCAGAUAUCAGGAGGAACACCGGUGGCGAAGGCGGGUCUCUGGGGCCGAUACUGACGCUGAGUGAGCGAAAGCCAGGGGAGCAAACGGG
rnacentral:rRNA from 1 species